rnacentral:rRNA from 1 species
GACGAACGCUGGCGGCGUGCCUAACACAUGCAAGUCGAACGGAGUAUUCAGUAAUGGAUACUUAGUGGCGAACGGGUGAGUAACGCGUAGACAACCUGCCUUCUAGAUGGGGACAACACUGCGAAAGUGGUGCUAAUACCGAAUGUUGUUUUUUGUACGCAUGUAUAAGAAACUAAAGGUGGCCUCUGAACAUGCUACCGCUAGAAGAUGGGUCUGCGUCUGAUUAGCUAGUUGGAGAGGUAAUGGCUCCCCAAGGCGACGAUCAGUAGCCGGUCUGAGAGGAUGAACGGCCACACUGGGACUGAGACACGGCCCAGACUCCUACGGGAGGCAGCAGUGGGGAAUCUUCCGCAAUGGACGAAAGUCUGACGGAGCAACGCCGCGUGAGUGAAGAAGGUUUUCGGAUCGUAAAGCUCUGUCUUUAAGGACGAACGUGCGCUAUGUAAAUAAUGUAGUGUAAUGACGGUACUUUAGGAGGAAGCCACGGCUAACUACGUGCCAGCCGCCGCCGUAAAAC